CAGGCAGCGCUCAGGACCCUCCACCAUGGCCUGGCUUCCCCUCUACCUCCUGCCCCUCAUCGUCUCCACAGGUCUCUGUGCUGAUCCUGUGCUCACCCAGCCCCCGUCUGCCUCUGCCGCCCUGGGGGCCUCAGUCAAGCUCACCUGCACCCUCAGCGCUGAGCACAGCAGCUACAACUAUGUUAGCUGGUAUCAGCAGAAAGCAGGACAGGCCCCUCGGUACAUCAUGUACAUUAACAGCGAUGGAAGCCACUCCAAGGGUGACGGGAUCCCUGAUCGCUUCUCGGGCUCCAGCUCCGGGGCCGACCGCUAUUUAACCAUCUCCAGCCUCCAGUCUGAGGACGAGGCUAAGUAUUACUGUGGUGUAUAUGGUAGCAGUUACUCACAGUGA